GGAGGCCGUGCUGAGAUCUUUGGAGGGAGUGCUGUGCAGGAUGAAUGUGGAGGUCUGGCAGCAACAGGACAGCACAGCUACAAACAUCCACAAAUACACUUGAGAGUCUUCACACUGCAUACAUUCAGAUUACUUUUUUAAACCCAUUAAAAGAACACAGAGCCAUAGAUAUGUAAUUAAUGUACAUAAUAGUGAUAUUAAAAGGACAAUUCAGUAAAAAAAAAAAAAAAACCUUGAUGAAAAACAAAUCAUUUUAUGAUCAGAUCGUAUUAUAAAAUAAUCAUAAAAGUGGUCCGUUUGGUGUAAUGUUUGAUGCGCUCUUUUGGGCAGUGUUGUUUUUGUUAACUAAAACUAUUCAAAAUUAGUUUUGAAAAAAAAAAGUCAGAACAAAAUCACUAAAACUAAAAUUAAAUAAAAGUUUAAAUUGCCCCUAAUAUGCCAUUUCGAAUAUUGCCCUUUCAUGCAGUGUGUAAUGUAGCUGUCUGUGAAUGUAAACUAUCUGCAAAGUUGUGCAGCCGAUGGUAAAUAAAGUUAUUGUCUCUCUCUCCAAAAAUAAAUAAAUAAAUAAAAUAAAAAGAAUCGACUCUGAAUCCCCUAAUCCCCUUAUUUUUUUUUUUUUUUUUUUUUUUUGGUGAACUAUGCCAUUAAGUAUUUUUCUAUUGUUUUACAGUUUUCCCCUGCAGACUUUAAAGUGGGUGCAGAUAGAGGCAGCUUCCUCAGAUCCAGGUUCAACCUUGUUAAAACCCAGUUUGUAUUCUUUGACCCAAGGCUCCUGCUGUGCUAACAGUACAUGCUCUCAUCUGUCAGGUCAACAGCAGAGCACCAUUCCCUGUGUGAGUGAAGAGGAACUGGCCAAGUUUGUGUCUCUGACGCCUCUGUCCAAAACACUGCAGGAGAUAAAGGAAUCACUCCAGAUUCUCGCCCACACGCCCAAGACAGAGGACGUUAUUAUCAUCCCAGCAGAGAGUGAACUGUCGCACCUGUUCCCUGUUGCCCUUGACAACCUUUCCCCACAGCAUUUUGCUGUCUUCCUGUUUGGCUACCAUGUUGUGCAUUUUCUGAGCAGGGCUUGUUCCUUCCCCCCGUCAUGCUGCAAUUGGCCAGGACGGUGCCAGCCUCUCACUGUGAUAACCUGCUGGCCUGCUGCUAUAAAGUCUUUUAUUACUACACAGAAGCUUCAAAACGCUGGCCAGUUCUUCUCCGUUCUCUUACACUCAAUGACCUAUAUAACCUCAGAUGAUUGAGGAAAAUACACCGGAGGCCUUUGGAACAUUAGUAGAGGACUUCUUCCGUGUAAAAAUACCUACUGAAACUCAUUUUGCUGAGCACCUGCUGACAGAGAGGUGCUGUGUGUGGAAAGAGAAAUAAACAGACUUGAUGAAGUUUACCAGCAGCUCUCCUCUGGGCUCCACAGGGCAAUGCACAUACACAGCCCACCAGAGAAGAAAGAGUCCAGGUCUGACAAACAGCUUCAGGAGCAGCAGAUGAUGCUGGAGCUGCAGAAGUGUACAGUGGAUCAGAAACUGAAGGAGAUGAGAGACAGACUUUCUAAACUGAGCUCAAGCCAGCGAGCGAGUCCUAAUGAAGUCAGACCAGCUCACAGCACAGUCCUGGCUCAGGAAGACAGCCAGACACCCAGCAAAUGCAAACCAGACAGUGGAGAACCAGAGAAACCUGCUGCAGGACAGUCCAGCAACAGGAAAAAGCAAAGCAAGCAUAUGGACAAACAUGAGGAAAAGGGUGUGACUGCAUGAGGAAUAAUGUUUGAAAAUGAUGAUUAUUAUAAAAAUACAAAAAUGUCUCCUCACUUGUCACAUGUAGAUUUUGUAGCUGUUUGUGACAAAAACUCACACGGAGGAGAACCUCUGGUUUAAAAGCAGUGUUAUCCUAAACAACUUAGCAAAUGUACUCAUAACCUUAAAACUGUGAUUCGUUAUUUUAUUGGUUUAUUUUUUCAUUUCCAUGAAUGUAUGCAUGUAUUUACACCACUGUUCAAGAAUUUAGGGUUGGUAAGAUUCUUAAAUUAAAAGUUCAAGAGAACACUAAUUAUUUGAAGUAGAAGUCUAUUGUAUUAUAAAUGUCUUUACUUCACUUUUGAUCAGUUUGACAUCAUGCUGUAUAGUAUUAAUGCAUAGGUAUUAAUAUCUUUCAAAAAAUCUUACUGAGUGUGUUUAUGAAUUAGCUUUAUUUCUUAAUAUGAUUUUAUUAAGUCUAAAUCUAAAUGUAUAAAAAUAAAUCUAAGUUAUUAAAAAUAUUGUGUCA
ensembl:lncRNA